GGCCGAGUGGUUAAGGCGUUGGA
rnacentral:piRNA from 1 species